rnacentral:rRNA from 1 species
UACGUAGGGUGCGAGCGUUGUCCGGAUUUACUGGGCGUAAAGGGCGCGUAGGCGGCCUGUGCAAGUCAGUUGUGAAAUCUCCGGGCUUAACUCGGAACGGUCAACUGAUACUGCUCGGCUAGAGUGCGGAAGGGGCAACUGGAAUUCUUGGUGUAGCGGUGAAAUGCGUAGAUAUCAAGAGGAACACCUGCGGCGAAGGCGGGUUGCUGGGCCGACACUGACGCUGAAGUGCGAAAGCUAGGGGAGCGAACGGG